GACGAACACUGGCGGCGUGCUUAACACAUGCAAGUCGAACGGAAAGGCCCUGCUUUUGUGGGGUGCUCGAGUGGCGAACGGGUGAGUAACACGUGAGUAACCUGCCCUUGACUUUGGGAUAACUUCGGGAAACUGGGGCUAAUACCGGAUAGGAGCUCCUGCUGCAUGGUGGGGGUUGGAAAGUUUCGGCGGUUGGGGAUGGACUCGCGGCUUAUCAGCUUGUUGGUGGGGUAGUGGCUUACCAAGGCUUUGACGGGUAGCCGGCCUGAGAGGGUGACCGGCCACAUUGGGACUGAGAUACGGCCCAGACUCCUACGGGAGGCAGCAGUGGGGAAUAUUGCACAAUGGGCGGAAGCCUGAUGCAGCAACGCCGCGUGCGGGAUGACGGUCUUCGGGUUGUAAACCGCUUUCGCCUGUGACGAAGCGUGAGUGACGGUAAUGGGUAAAGAAGCACCGGCUAACUACGUG
rnacentral:rRNA from 1 species